rnacentral:rRNA from 1 species
UACAGGGGGUGCAAACGUUGCUCGGAAUCAUUGGGCGUAAAGCGCACGUAGGCGGUUCGUUAUGUCGGAUGUGAAAGCCCUUGGCUUAACCGAGGAAGUGCAUCCGAAACUGGCGAGCUAGAGUACGAAAGAGGAUCGCGGAAUUCCCGGUGUAGAGGUGGAAUUCGUAGAUAUCGGGAGGAACACCGGUGGCGAAGGCGGCGAUCUGGGUCGAUACUGACGCUGAGGUGCGAAAGCGUGGGGAGCGAACAGG